UGGCGGCGAGGUAAGGUGGUAUUGAAGUGUGUUGAUCUGAAAGUGACGAACAGAACUGAUUGAUGAUAGAAUUGGCGGAAAAUCGCUUCGAAGAACCUGACCGUGCAGAAGAUGCAACCAGAGAUGAUCAUCACAGUUGGAACUCGAUAUCUGAAGGUU